rnacentral:rRNA from 1 species
GAGUUUGAUCUUGGCUCAGAUUGAACGCUGGCGGCAUGCCUUACACAUGCAAGUCGAACGGCAGCAUGAUCUAGCUUGCUAGAUUGAUGGCGAGUGGCGAACGGGUGAGUAAUACAUCGGAACGUGCCCUGUAGUGGGGGAUAACUAGUCGAAAGAUUAGCUAAUACCGCAUACGACCUGAGGGUGAAAGUGGGGGACCGCAAGGCCUCAUGCUAUAGGAGCGGCCGAUGUCUGAUUAGCUAGUUGGUGGGGUAAAGGCCCACCAAGGCGACGAUCAGUAGCUGGUCUGAGAGGACGAUCAGCCACACUGGGACUGAGACACGGCCCAGACUCCUACGGGAGGCAGCAGUGGGGAAUUUUGGACAAUGGGCGAAAGCCUGAUCCAGCAAUGCCGCGUGUGUGAAGAAGGCCUUCGGUUGUAAGUACGACUUACGUUCCGGUAACGAAAGUAGGACGUC